UCGAGAAUCUUUCACAAUGGGGGCAACCCUGAUGGAGCGACGCCGCGUGGAGGAUAAGGUCUUCGGAUUGUAAACUCCUGUCAUGCGAGAACAAGGUUGCAGGGCUAACACCCGUGCAAAUUGAUGGUACCGCAAGAGGAAGAGACGGCUAACUCUGUGCCAGCAGCCGCGGUAAUACAGAGGUCUCAAGCGUUGUUCGGAAUCACUGGGCGUAAAGGGUGCGUAGGCCGCGCCGUAAGUCAGAUGUGAAAGCCCGGGGCUCAACCCCGGAAUUGCAUCCGAUACUGCGGUGCUUGAGUACUGGAGAGGAGACUAGAAUUCACGGUGUAGCAGUGAAAUGCGUAGAUAUCGUGAGGAAUACCAAAGGCGUAGGCAGGUCUCUGGACAGUAACUGACGCUGAGGCACGAAGGCCAGGGUAGCGAACGGG
rnacentral:rRNA from 1 species